GACGUAGGGCGCAAGCGUUGUCCGGAAUUAUUGGGCGUAAAGAGCUCGUAGGCGGUUUGUCGCGUCUGCUGUGAAAACCCGAGGCUCAACCUCGGGCCUGCAGUGGGUACGGGCAGACUAGAGUGUGGUAGGGGAGACUGGAAUUCCUGGUGUAGCGGUGGAAUGCGCAGAUAUCAGGAGGAACACCAAUGGCGAAGGCAGGUCUCUGGGCCACAACUGACGCUGAGGAGCGAAAGCGUGGGGAGCGAACAGG
rnacentral:rRNA from 1 species